UACGUAGGGUGCAAGCGUUAAUCGGAAUUACUGGGCGUAAAGCGUGCGCAGGCGGUUUUGUAAGACCGAUGUGAAAUCCCCGGGCUUAACCUGGGAACUGCAUUGGUGACUGCACGGCUAGAGUGCGUCAGAGGGGGGUAGAAUUCCACGUGUAGCAGUGAAAUGCGUAGAGAUGUGGAGGAAUACCGAUGGCGAAGGCAGCCCCCUGGGAUAACACUGACGCUCAUGCACAAAAGCGUGGGGAGCGAACAGG
rnacentral:rRNA from 1 species